AUACGUAGGGGGCGAGCGUUGUCCGGAUUUAUUGGGCGUAAAGGGUGCGUAGGCGGCCUUGUAAGUCAGAUGUGAAAGAUCAUGGCUUAACUGUGGUAAGCAUUUGAAACUGCAGGGCUUGAGUACAGGAGAGGAGAGUGGAAUUCCUAGUGUAGCGGUGAAAUGCGUAGAUAUUAGGAGGAAUACCAGUGGCGAAGGCGACUCUCUGGACUGAUACUGACGCUGAGGCACGAAAGCGUGGGGAGCAAACAGGAUUAGAUACCCUGGUAGUCCACGCUAUAAACGAUGAGUGCUAGGUGUCGGGGGUCAAACCUCGGUGCCGCAGUUAACACAUUAAGCACUCCGCCUGGGGAGUACGGUGGCAACACUGAAACUCAAAGGAAUUGACGGG
rnacentral:rRNA from 1 species